GAUGAACGCUGGCGGCGUGCCUAAUACAUGCAAGUCGAGCGAACAGAUGAGGAGCUUGCUCCUCUGACGUUAGCGGCGGACGGGUGAGUAACACGUGGAUAACCUACCUAUAAGACUGGGAUAACUUCGGGAAACCGGAGCUAAUACCGGAUAAUAUAUUGAACCGCAUGGUUCAAUAGUGAAAGACGGUUUUGCUGUCACUUAUAGAUGGAUCCGCGCCGCAUUAGCUAGUUGGUAAGGUAACGGCUUACCAAGGCAACGAUGCGUAGCCGACCUGAGAGGGUGAUCGGCCACACUGGAACUGAGACACGGUCCAGUCUCCUACGGGAGGCAGCAGUAGGGAAUCUUCCGCAAUGGGCGAAAGCCUGACGGAGCAACGCCGCGUGAGUGAUGAAGGUCUUCGGAUCGUAAAACUCUGUUAUUAGGGAAGAACAAAUGUGUAAGUAACUAUGCACGUCUUGACGGUACCUAAUCAGAAAGCCACGGCUAACUACGUG
rnacentral:rRNA from 1 species